rnacentral:tRNA from 1 species
GUCAGAGUGUUGGAAUUGGUAGACUUGGCAGAUUUAGAAUCUGCUGUCCUAGUGGCGUGAGGGUUCAAGUCCCUCCUCUGACA